UGAGCAAUCUGCCCUUCACAUCGGAAUAACCAUUGGAAACGAUGGCUAAUACCGAAUAUGACUUCGGAUCGCAUGAUCUGAAGUGGAAAGCUCCGGCGGUGAAGGAUGAGCUCGCGGCCUAUCAGCUUGUUGGUGAGGUAACGGCUCACCAAGGCUUCGACGGGUAGCCGGCCUGAGGAGGGCGACCCGGCCACACGUGGGACUGAGAUACGGUCCAGAUCCGUACGGGG
rnacentral:rRNA from 1 species